UACGGAGGGUGCGAGCGUUGUCCGGAAUCACUGGGCGUAAAGGGCGCGUAGGCGGCCUGAUAAGUAGGGGGUGAAAUCCUGCGGCUUAACCGCAGGGCUGCCUUCUAAACUGUCAGGCUCGAGCACAGUAGAGGCAGGUGGAAUUCCCGGUGUAGCGGUGGAAUGCGUAGAGAUCGGGAAGAACAUCAGUGGCGAAGGCGGCCUGCGUGGGCUGUUGCUGACGCUGAGGCGCGACAGCGUGGGGAGCAAACAGG
rnacentral:rRNA from 1 species